rnacentral:lncRNA from 10 species
UGAUGGAGGAGCAGGUUCCAAAAGACCAAUCUCCCUAGUCAAAGUAGAACCAAUUUUAUGGUGCAAUUCUUGCUCCAGAGCUUCCUGUAGGAUCAGGCUGUUGGUAGUCUCCUGCUGAGACUAUAUCUUUCCUUAACUCCUUGUCAUAGUCUAUUCUGGCUGCUAUAAUAAAAUGUCAUAGGCUGGGGGGUUUAUAAACAACAGAAAUUCAUUGCUCACAGUCUGGAGGCUUGGAGAGCCAAGAUCAAGGUACUGGCAUACUCAGUGUCUGGUAAGGGCCCACUUUAUCAUAGGUGGUGCCUUCUCUGUGUCCUCAUAUGGUGGAAGAAGUGGACAAGCUUGCUUGGGGCUAUUUUAUGAGGGCACUAAUCUCAUUUCCGAUGGCCCCACCUCCUGCUACCAUCACUCUGGCAAUUACUUUUUUAACAUGUGAAUUUUAGAAGGACACGAAUAUUUAGACCAUCACCCUCCUCCUCGGUCCUAUCUUACUUCCCCAUCCCUUCCCCAGAUACCACAAGCUCAAUAAGUCACAUGCACCUGAAUCCUUGUCUCAGGUCCUGCUUCUAGGAAACCUGCCUAAGACGCCAUCUCAAGGACCUGAGUUAUUUGCAUGACCGAGAAGUUGCCUGUCAAUGUCUGGGCUCACAUGUUCCUCCUCAGAAAAGUAUAGAAGGUGUCACAAUAAACACACGGUACGAGUGUUUAUAGAAGCUGUACUCAAUACUGGAUCACAGAGCUUACUCUGAAGGUGAAGGAAGAGAUCAAUAAAAAACUGCCCUCCUCCUUCAAUAAUGACUCAGGAGGGCAGAGGAGGGUAGCCUGGACAUGUUGGGGGAGGAGAGGGUCAGGUCAUCAUAACUGCCACUUCAUUAACCCCCCACAGGCUGGAGAGGAAGGGGGAAUGGAAUAUACGCUAUGUGCCUCUCAUUUUUGGGCUGAAGGCAUACAGCUAACUCUACUGGUGUGCUGAGACAGCUUUUACCAGCUCUCAGGAGCGUAUUUCUAAAUUUUCAGAAAUUUUGUGAGCCUGUUGUUCAACACUGCCUUUAUGAAAAAUUGAAUCAUGCAAACUUACAAUUAAAUAAAAUAUACUUAACAAAAU